rnacentral:rRNA from 1 species
UACGUAGGGACCAAGCGUUGUUCGGAUUUACUGGGCGUAAAGCGUGCGCAGGCGGUUCGCUAAGACAGAUGUGAAAUCCCCCGGGCUUAACCUGGGAACUGCAUUUGUGACUGGCGGGCUAGAGUAUGGGCAGAGGGGGGUAGAAUUCCACGUGUAGCAGUGAAAUGCGUAGAGAUGUGGAGGAAUACCGAUGGCGAAGGCAGCCCCCUGGGCCAAUACUGACGCUCAUGCACGAAAGCGUGGGGAGCAAACAGG